GUGAAACCGCGAAUGGCUCAUUACAUCAGUUAUGGUUCCUUAGAUCGUACCCACAUUUACUUGGAUAACUGUGGUAAUUCUAGAGCUAAUACAUGCAAAUCGAAUUCCAACCAGAGAUGGGAGGAAUGCUUUUAUUAGAUCAAAACCAAUCGGUAGCAGGCUUUGCUUUGCUUACCGUUUGAUUUGGUGACUCUGAAUAACUUAAGGCAGAUCGCACGGUCUCGUACCGGCGACGCAUCUUUCAAAUGUCUGCCUUAUCAACUGUCGAUGGUAGUUUCUGCGACUACCAUGGUUGUUANGGGUAACGGGGAAUCAGGGUUCGAUUCCGGAGAGGGAGCCUGAGAAACGGCUACCACAUCCAAGGAAGGCAGCAGGCGCGCAAAUUACCCACUCCCGGCACGGGGAGGUAGUGACGAAAAAUAACGAUACGGGACUCAUCCGAGGCCCCGUAAUCGGAAUGAGUACACUUUAAAUCCUUUAACGAGGAUCAAUUGGAGGGCAAGUCUGGUGCCAGCAGCCGCGGUAAUUCCAGCUCCAAUAGCGUAUAUUAAAGUUGUUGCGGUUAAAAAGCUCGUAGUUGAAUUUGUGUUCCACACUGUUGGUUCACCGCUCGCGGUGUUUAACUGGCAUGUCUGUGGAACGUCUACCGGUGGUGUCGUUUACCCCAGUUGAGGUAAAACUUUUCUGGGGGACGCCCAAAUAACAAAUCCUAUCACGGUGCUCUUAAACGAGUGUCGGGAUGGGCCGGUACGUUUACUUUGAACAAAUUAGAGUGCUUAAAGCAGGCUUAUAUUUGCCUGAAUAUUAUGUGCAUGGAAUAAUAGAAUAGGACCUCGGUUCUAUUUUGUUGGUUUUCGGAACCCCCGAGGUAAUGAUUAAUAGGGACAACUGGGGGCAUUCGUAUUGCGACGUUAGAGGUGAAAUUCUUGGAUCGUCGCAAGACGGACAGAAGCGAAAGCAUUUGCCAAAUGUGUUUUCAUCAAUCAAGAACGAAAGUUAGAGGUUCGAAGGCGAUCAGAUACCGCCCUAGUUCUAACCAUAAACGAUGCCAGCUAGCGAUCCGCCGAAGUUCCUCCGAUGACUCGGCGGGCAGCUU
rnacentral:rRNA from 1 species